rnacentral:misc_RNA from 1 species
UUGCUUGACCUCAUGCACAUCAUAGUUACAAAUUUUAAUAAUCUGACGUUCAGCAUGUGCUCAACCUGAAAAGGAAAUAGGAAGCAUAUCAGUUCUGUAGACCAGAAUUCAUACAAACAAAAUAAAAGAUUUUGUUCUGAGAAAUAAAAAGAUUUUGUUCUCAAACUGCAAAUAUAUUGAAUCAGAGCAACGAACAAUAUCAAACUGGUAUGCUCCUGCUUCCUUGACCUGAUUUUCACUUGUAUUACUGUUAAUUUCAAAGGUAAAGAACCUAAAGAUAAAGUGGAAACCUACUCAAGUUGGAUUUCUGAUUUGUCAUGUAAGCUGCUGCUUGCUGUUUGAAAGCAAAUCAUG